UUUGAUAUGUAAGUAUGUUCUAUGUAAUAUUUGGGACAUAUUUAUACUAUAU
rnacentral:miRNA from 1 species